rnacentral:pre_miRNA from 1 species
GGAGAGCUCCAAAGGGAUCGCAUUGAUCUCUAUUUCUAUCAUGUGUUGGGUGAUCAAUGCGAUUUCUUUGGAAUUUUCC